CAGCCGCCGCGGGAAAACGGAGGGUGCAAGCGUUAAUCGGAAUUACUGGGCGUAAAGCGCACGCAGGCGGUCUGACAAGUCAGAUGUGAAAUCCCCGGGCUUAACCUGGGAACUGCAUUUGAAACUGUCAGGCUGGAGUCUUGUAGAGGGGGGUGGAAUUUCAGGUGUAGCGGUGAAAUGCGUAGAGAUCUGGAGGAAUACCGGUGGCGAAGGCGGCCCCCUGGACAAAGACUGACGCUCAGGUGCGAAAGCGUGGGGAGCAAACAGGAUUAGAGACCCCUGUAGUCCCUGUCUCUUAUAU
rnacentral:rRNA from 1 species